CUCACAGAAACACAGACUAACUCUCAACAAAAUGACACAUGGUACAACCUCAGGUCAUGCAAAAUUCCAUGAAGAAGGAGUCUGGCACAUGAAAGUUACUGGGAACAGAUAUGAGACCAGACAGAGAAGCCAGCAGGCUCUGACCAGAUCUGAUAAGGACGAGUUGAGCAAGAUCCUGUCCUGCAAUCCAGGCACAGCAGCAGCAGCAGCAAGACUGGUGAGUGCAUCUGACCAUCAUAAAGUAAGUGAAACCAUAGUGAUGAGUGUAACAAUGUUAACAGCUGUCUUAUUUCUGUUUAAAGGUGUGCCAAGUGUAUUGCACAGAGAAGGAGAGUUGAAUGAGGACAUGAUGGAAACAUAAACGUUCCUGCAGAGGAUCAGAUCUCCUCGUCUG